rnacentral:lncRNA from 1 species
AGGCACGCGCGGGAGCACGCCCGGGAGCGCGCAUGCGCAGCGCUGCUGGCCCGCUCUCUGAGGAGCUUUCAAUACUUUGGGGUCAAGUUUGAGGCAGUUGUAACUGUACUGAGUUUAGUUUUGCUAAUAAUGGUAUUCUACGUGUGUCAGCCUCGUGUGGACUUCUGUAAUGACUAAUGGAUAUGUUUAUAUCCUGAGCAUUUGCUGUAGGAAUUUUAAAUGCAAUCCCAAAACUCAAGAUUACCUUAUUUGGAGAAAUAUUCGUGUUACUAUGUUUAAAAUUUAAUAGAACCAUAUUUUACCUUUCACUUUGGGACUCGCACAGGAUGUUUGCAGCUCUUGAUAUACAGGAACUAGAACGUGUCUUUUAAGAGCAUGCGGUUUUAUAAUUACGUGGAAGUAUGCUACGCAAGGGAAAAAAGCCUCUUGCUAAUGCUUUGAUGUCUUAAAUGGUACAUCCAAACUUAAGUGAAAUAGAGCUGUGAGGACAUUUUGGGGAGAAGUGACCUAGAUAAGCACUGACUGUUGCAUUCAUCUCUCUUCUUGCUGAUUGUGAUGAUUUCCUGUGCCAUAGCCAUUCAAAGUCUGCCAAAAAAGCUAGCAUGUAAUUUUCUUUCUCUACUUCUCUACAUUUGGAGGAUGGAAAUGUAGAUGUUCUUCCAUUGUGCCAGCCUCCUCAUUCUUCUUUCUCCAAUGCCGCAUCUUCCUGCAAACUUCCUGCCACAACUCAAACAACAGGAAAAUAAAUGAUCUGAAAUCCUCCUGAACUGCAGCCUACCUAUCGUGGUCUCUAUGGGUGCAAACUUCCUUCCAGAAGCUUGUUCAGCUGGCUAAAACAGGACAUUUGCCAAUGCAGCCAAAAGUUGGGUCUUAUACUGGCUACCUCCUAUGCAGAGUGAAAAACUUUUCUUUCUCCCACAGCCACAGACAUCGCUCCUCUUCCAGCUCAACAUCUUUCAAAGGGAUGGCUCUCAGUCCCGAAAUGAAAAGAAAAGGUGGCUUGGUGCAAAUCAUUCUCUUUAUCAGCAAAAGAAAUACCAAAGCCUGUGUCCUUCUGACAUAGUGAGCUGUCGAGGUAGUCCAGGGAAAAGAUGACAGUGAAUUGAGUUAUGGGAUGGCAAUGGAGACUGAAAAGAAUCUGUGUUUAUUAUAUGUAUAUAUAUCAUUAAGGUAGAACUAGUGGAUUUUCUCUGGCACUGCACAUGGGAAGCAAGUGAAGGAGAGUGAUCUAGAAUGACGCCACCAUUUUUGCCUGAGAAAUUCAGUACUCAGAGGUGUCUGUCAUUCAGAGAGAUGGAGGAAACAAGAAGAGGAGCAAGUUGGGGGAGAGGGUAAGCAGAAUCAAAAACUGUGUUGAUACAUUAACUUUAGGAUGCAUAGUAGACAUCAGAGUACAGAUGGAGUUUAGGAGCAAAGUUAUAUAGAGAGAUAAAUUUGAGAACCUGUAAUUCUUUUAUUUGUGGCAGAUAAUUAGACAAAUGAUUUCUAAAUAUUCCCAUGACUACUACAGAACAUCAAUAAAUUCCUUAAUAAUACUAGAAGGAGAAAUGUGGUUUAAAUUUUCCCAGGGGUUUUCUAACCUUUCAGCAAUUCUCUUUCUUUUCAGCAAAUGUUUGGUAAUUAUGCUGGAAUAUUGGGGUGGGGGUGCUUUCUUUUUAAGGCCGCUAUUUCUUUAUGUAUUUCUCUGGUCUUUAAGCUCUCAAGUAGAGUCAUCUGAUGUGAUUUCUCAGCUAAUAUGGGCAUUUUAUAACUUGCCCAGAGCCUCAUUGUUUUCAAUUCUGUUUUUUUUCCCCCAUUAGUUCUUUAACCAUAUUUGUGACUUUGUAUUUUGAGACAUUCUGGAACAUUCUCCGGUAGAAUAAAACUAUAAUACUAUGGGAAUAAAAAAUACAAUACUAAGAAAACAACCAUAGGGCUGGGCGCAGUGGCUCACACCUGUAAUCCCAACACUUUGGGAGGCCGAGGCAGGCGGAUCACAAGAUCAAGAGAUUGAGACCAUCCUGGCCAACAGAGUGAAACCCCAUCUGUACUAAAAAUACAAAAAUUAGCUGGGCAUGAUGGCGCCCACCUGUAGUCCCAGCUACUCGGGAGGCUGAGGCAAGAGAAUUGCUUGAACCUGCUCUUUUUUUGACAUGACCACACCCUGCAGCAGCUCGCCCACUUACUCCACUAUGUGACAUUGGACAAGUCAUUUAGCAUCUCCUGGCACAAUUUCCCCACUUGUACGGUAGAGGUAAUAAUCCUAAUGCCUACCAGAAGGUAAUAAAUAAGGAUUAAAUUAGAUAACACAGGUAAAGUGCUUAGAAUGGUGUUUAGAAUUUAGUAAGUCAUGGCUAUUGUUAUGAUUAUCUUCUGCCCAUAUAAGUGGUUGGAGAACACACAUGA